CAGUCGCCGCGGUAAAACGAAGGGUCCAAGCGUUACUCGGAAUUACUGGGCGUAAAGCGUGCGUAGGUGGUUGUUUAAGUCUGCUGUGAAAGCCCUGGGCUCAACCUGGGAAUUGCAGUGGAUACUGGGCGACUAGAGCAAGGUAGAGGAUAGUGGAAUUUCCGGUGUAGCAGUGAAAUGCGUAGAGAUCGGAAGGAACAUCUGUGGCGAAGGCGACUAUCUGGGCCAUUACUGACACUGAGGCACGAAAGCGUGGGGAGCAAACAGGAUUAGAUACCCCUGUAGUCCCUGUCUCUUAUAC
rnacentral:rRNA from 1 species